UACGUAGGGUGCGAGCGUUGUCCGGAAUUACUGGGCGUAAAGAGCUCGUAGGUGGUUUGUCGCGUUGUUCGUGAAAACUCACAGCUCAACUGUGGGCGUGCGGGCGAUACGGGGCAGACUGGAGUACUGCAGGGGGAGACUGGAAUUCCUGGUGUAGCGGUGGAAUGCGCAGAUAUCAGGAGGAACACCGGUGGCGAAGGCGGGUCUCUGGGCAGUAACUGACGCUGAGGAGCGAAAGCGUGGGGAGCGAACAGG
rnacentral:rRNA from 1 species